rnacentral:rRNA from 1 species
GGAAGGAUCAUUAACGAAUUGUAAUGGGGAUUGAUGCUGGCGAAUACCCUUGCAUGUGCUCACCCCCAACAAUUUUAUCCAAACACCUGUGCACCACUUGAAGGAAAAGGGAUUUCAAGUAGAUUUAUCUUGAAUUUCUUUCUUCUUCUUACACAUACACUGAUUACAAUGUUGAACGUGCUCGUGCCUAUUAAAGGCCUUAAUAAAUUAUAACUUUUAACAACGGAUCUCUUGGCUCUUGCAUCGAUGAAGAACGCAGCGAAAUGCGAUAAGUAAUGUGAAUUGCAGAAUUCAGUGAAUCAUCGAAUCUUUGAACGCACCUUGCGCUCCCUGGUAUUCCGGGGAGCACACCUGUUCGAGUGUCUUGAAAUUGUCAAGCUGUAAUACUUUUGUCAAAAAGUGAUCUCGGCUUGGUUAUUGGGCUCUGCCGCGUCCUACUAUUGGAAUGGCUGGCCUUAAAAGCAUUAGCUUGACCCUCAUGUAACAUCGAUUCUACUCGGCGUGAUAAUAAUAAUCUUAUCGCUUGAGGACAUCUUUUGUUUGGGUUGCUUUCUAAUCUGGCAUUGCGGAUUCUCAUGAAAUCUGUUGUUCCACCUUCAAAUUUGACCUCGAAUCAGG